CUAGGAAAUGGUGCUAUUGUGAGUUCGUU
rnacentral:piRNA from 1 species